AAAUUUGAGCUACAACCGUUUACAAAAAUUUGAUGGCGCUUUCUCAUACCUUUCCAGCAUAAGAGAGAUUGACCUCAGAAACAAUACAGACAUGAUGUGUGGAUGUCAACUGCCAGCUAUGUCAAAUUAUAUAAAGAGUGCAUACAAGAGAACUCUGAGAAUUCUGGGCAAGUGUCACACAAAUUUAGGCGAUAAACAAGACAAAUUAAUACCUAUAAUGGAAUAUUCACAAUGUAAAGGAAAGACGUUAUUUCAAAAGAAUUUACAGUGCCAAACAUGUUCAGGGAUGACUUGCGAUGAUGCAAAAAAUAACAAGUUGUCCAGGAC